GAUGAACGCUGGCGGCGUGCCUAAUACAUGCCAGUCGAGCGAACAGACGAGGAGCUUGCUCCUCUGACGUUAGCGGCGGACGGGUGAGUAACACGUGGAUAACCUACCUAUAAGACUGGGAUAACUUCGGGAAACCGGAGCUAAUACCGGAUAAUAUAUUGAACCGCAUGGUUCAAUAGUGAAAGACGGUUUUGCUGUCACUUAUAGAUGGAUCCGCGCCGCAUUAGCUAGUUGGUAAGGUAACGGCUUACCAAGGCAACGAUGCGUAGCCGACCUGUGAGGGUGAUCGGCCACACUGGAACUGAGACACGGUCCAGACUCCUACGGGAGGCAGCAGUAGGGAAUCUUCCGCAAUGGGCGAAAGCCUGACGGAGCAACGCCGCGUGAGUGAUGAAGGUCUUCGGAUCGUAAAACUCUGUUAUUAGGGAAGAACAAAUGUGUAAGUAACUAUGCACGUCUUGACGGUACCUAAUCAGAAAGCCACGGCUAACUACGUG
rnacentral:rRNA from 1 species